GGUAAAUUACAUCUGUUUGAAAGUGAAACUAGUUUUUUUUUUCAUGCAGGCUCUGUCAAUCAUAGCCAGGGGAGGUGUGGCUAGGGCUGCAUAAACAGAAACAAAGUGAUUUAACUCCUAAAUGACAGUGAAUUGAGCAGCGAAAUUGCAGGGGAAUGAUCUAUACACUAAAACUGCUUUAUUUAGCUAAAGUAAUUUAGGUGACUAUAGUGUUCCUUUAA